rnacentral:rRNA from 1 species
UGACUGCGUACCUUUUGUAUAAUGGGUCAGCGACUUAUAUUCUGUAGCAAGGUUAACCGAAUAGGGGAGCCGGAGGGAAACCGAGUCUUAACCGGGCGUUAAGUUGCAGGGUAUAGACCCGAAACCCGGUGAUCUAGCCAUGGGCAGGUUGAAGGUUGGGUAACACUAACUGGAGGACCGAACCGACUAAUGUUGAAAAAUUAGCGGAUGACCUGUGGCUGGGGGUGAAAGGCCAAUCAAACCGGGAGAUAGCUGGUUCUCCCCGAAAGCUAUUUAGGUAGCGCCUCGUGAAUUCAUCUCCGGGGGUAGAGCACUGUUUCGGCUAGGGGGCCAUCCCGGCUUACCAACCCGAUGCAAACUGCGAAUACCGGAGAAUGUUAUCACGGGAGACACACGGCGGGUGCUAACGUCCGUCGUGAAGAGGGAAACAACCCAGACCGCCAGCUAAGGUCCCAAAGUCAUGGUUAAGUGGGAAACGAUGUGGGAAGGCCCAGACAGCCAGGAUGUUGGCUUAGAAGCAGCCAUCAUUUAAAGAAAGCGUAAUAGCUCACUGGUCGAGUCGGCCUGCGCGGAAGAUGUAACGGGGCUAAACCAUGCACCGAAGCUGCGGCAGCGAACGUAUCACCCAAGACAACUUUACGGAGUUGACGAUUGACGGAGCGAAGCGACGUCAAAGCGUUCAUUAAAGUCGAGUUGGCUUAGGGAUACGUUCGUUGGGUAGGGGAGCGUUCUGUAAGCCUGUGAAGGUGGCCUGUGAGGGUUGCUGGAGGUAUCAGAAGUGCGAAUGCUGACAUAAGUAACGAUAAAGCGGGUGAAAAGCCCGCUCGCCGGAAGACCAAGGGUUCCUGUCCAACGUUAAUCGGGGCAGGGUGAGUCGACCCCUAAGGCGAGGCCGAAAGGCGUAGUCGAUGGGAAACGGGUUAAUAUUCCCGUACUUGGUGUUACUGCGAAGGGGGGACGGAGAAGGCUAUGUUGGCCGGGCGACGGUUGUCCCGGUUUAAGCGUGUAGGUGUGUGUUCCAGGUAAAUCCGGUUCACUUUAACACUGAGGCGUGAUGACGAGGCACUACGGUGCUGAAGCAACAAAUGCCCUGCUUCCAGGAAAAGCCUCUAAGCAUCAGGUAACAUCAAAUCGUACCCCAAACCGACACAGGUGGUCAGGUAGAGAAUACCAAGGCGCUUGAGAGAACUCGGGUGAAGGAACUAGGCAAAAUGGUGCCGUAACUUCGGGAGAAGGCACGCUGACACGUAGGUGAAGUGAUUUACUCACGGAGCUGAAGUCAGUCGAAGAUACCAGCUGGCUGCAACUGUUUAUUAAAAACACAGCACUGUGCAAACACGAAAGUGGACGUAUACGGUGUGACGCCUGCCCGGUGCCGGAAGGUUAAUUGAUGGGGUCAGCGCAAGCGAAGCUCCUGAUCGAAGCCCCGGUAAACGGCGGCCGUAACUAUAACGGUCCUAAGGUAGCGAAAUUCCUUGUCGGGUAAGUUCCGACCUGCACGAAUGGCGUAAUGAUGGCCAGGCUGUCUCCACCCGAGACUCAGUGAAAUUGAACUCGCUGUGAAGAUGCAGUGUACCCGCGGCAAGACGGAAAGACCCCGUGAACCUUUACUAUAGCUUGACACUGAACAUUGAGCCUUGAUGUGUAGGAUAGGUGGGAGGCUUUGAAGUGUGGACGCCAGUCUGCAUGGAGCCGACCUUGAAAUACCACCCUUUAAUGUUUGAUGUUCUAACGUGGACCCGUAAUCCGGGUUGCGGACAGUGUCUGGUGGGUAGUUUGACUGGGGCGGUCUCCUCCUAAAGAGUAACGGAGGAGCACGAAGGUUGGCUAAUCCUGGUCGGACAUCAGGAGGUUAGUGCAAUGGCAUAAGCCAGCUUGACUGCGAGCGUGACGGCGCGAGCAGGUGCGAAAGCAGGUCAUAGUGAUCCGGUGGUUCUGAAUGGAAGGGCCAUCGCUCAACGGAUAAAAGGUACUCCGGGGAUAACAGGCUGAUACCGCCCAAGAGUUCAUAUCGACGGCGGUGUUUGGCACCUCGAUGUCGGCUCAUCACAUCCUGGGGCUGAAGUAGGUCCCAAGGGUAUGGCUGUUCGCCAUUUAAAGUGGUACGCGAGCUGGGUUUAGAACGUCGUGAGACAGUUCGGUCCCUAUCUGCCGUGGGCGCUGGAGAACUGAGGGGGGCUGCUCCUAGUACGAGAGGACCGGAGUGGACGCAUCACUGGUGUUCGGGUUGUCAUGCCAAUGGCACUGCCCGGUAGCUAAAUGCGGAAGAGAUAAGUGCUGAAAGCAUCUAAGCACGAAACUUGCCCCGAGAUGAGUUCUCCCUGAGACUUAAAGUCUCCUGAAGGAACGUUGAAGACGACGACGUUGAUAGGCCGGGUGUGUAAGCGCAGCGAUGCGUUGAGCUAACCGGUACUAAUGAACCGUGAGGCUUAACCUU